GGUCUUUCCUCCCCUUUUAAACUGACACAUCUUUUUGCGAGAUUCGCUACAUUUUUUAGGGUCUCAAUAUUUCCUUCACUGAAUAGGGUAUCGUCCCAAAUUCGGUUCAAGCCAUCUUCCUCCAUUGAACAAACAAAGAAGCUUGCCAGGUUUCUCUCUGACUCUGGCAUGGCAAAAGAAAACGCUAAUUUGCUUGUUAGUAGCUCCAUCAGGACAACUCCAAAACUAUAGACAUCACUCUUUUGUGUUAGUCGGUUUGAAUGGAGGUAUUCAGGAUCUAAGUAUCCGCGUGUCCCUUGCACUAGAGUUGUUUCUUGAGUUUGAUCCAUAGGAACUAAGCGCGAAGCACCAAAAUCCGACACUUUUGCCGUGUAAUUGUCAUCUAACAGUAUAUUCAUUGAUUUCACAUCUCGAUGUAUGAUUGGUGUAGAAGUAGAGGAGUGUAAGUAUGCUAAAGCUCCUGCAGUUUCUGCGGCAAUCUUCAAUCUUAAUUCCCAUGAAAGUGAUAACCCUUCGCUCUUUUUACCAUGAAUGUGAUGAAAAAGAGUGUCAUUGGUGAUGUAUUCAUAAACUAGUAAAGGCACCGGUGUCUCUAAACAGCAACCUAGAAGCCUCACUACAUUUCUAUGAUUGAUUUGAGAAAGAACAAUCACCUCAUUUACAAACUGCUCUUUCUGAGCUGGAACGCCAACUUUUGACUUCUUUAUGGCAACCACUUUGUUAUCUGCAAAUAUUCCUUUGUAAACUAUUCCAUAACCCCCUUCACCAACAACUCUACUUUCAUGGUAAUUGUCUGUGGCCUUUUCAAGUGCUUCUGCUGCAAAAAUUUUGGUUGUCUCCAUGGAACUUCCUUGACUAGCAAGUUGUUGUUGUAACAAUAAGCCACCAUUUUCUUUAAAGUAUUUUUCUUUGAGUUUCAUGAGCCUUCUUCUAUGCAUUCCCCAAUAUAUCCAUGAAAUUCCAAUUAGUAAAACCAAGAGGCUUGCACUAGUGACACCUGCACAUAAUUGAAAAUUGUCGUAAGUGUUUAUGCAGGUCUAGUCAUAAAAAUAAAAUUAGAUAAAAAGAGUGAAAAGUAUUAAAUUAUGGAUGUUGUUUUUGUUGUCUACCUUGUGCUUUACUUUCUAGGAUAAAAUGCUUCUGAGAAAGUAAUAUGUUAAGACGAAAUAAGAUUACAUGUAUGACAAUGAAGGAUAUUUAUUCAGUUUAAUUUGGGUCUUGUUAGUGAGAUUAAUCAAUGUUUAGAAUUGAGAAGGGGGAAACUUUUGGAUAUAUUCUCAUACGGGUGGAUGUUGACAUGUACAUAAAAACAUACCCAAUGAAAUAACAGCCAGGAGAAUGAUCUUCCAUCGAUUGCUGGGAUUAUGUUUUUUUUGGUCUGAGCUGGGAUUGUGUUUGAUGCAACUCUUUUGAUUCAUGCCGUCGUUUUUGUACCCUUCGGGACAUUUACAAGAAUAAUCUCCAGGUAAAUUUAUGCACGUUCCAAUACUGCAAGGGUUUGACUCCUUGCACUCAUCAAUAUCUGAAUAGUAAGGAAAACCAAAUUUAUCACAAUUAACAUCAUGCAAAAUUCCAAUAUUCUUUAGCUUUCCUGUAAAAACAACUAACACACACAUUCACAUGUUAUUAUAAGAGUAUAAUUAUUCUCUUGUCUAAUUUAUAUUGCCGGACAACUGUGAAUUUAGGUCACAUAUUCGGGCAUGAGCCUUAUCAAUGGUUCAUAUUCAUAGUUUAACAAAGGGUUUGAACAGAGUCAGGCAAGUGAACACUAUUAAUUCAUUAGACACAUAUCUAUAUAUAUUUUGUGUGUGUGUGUGUGUAGGCUAUAGAGCUUACCUUGGCAACUAUCUAGGAGGUACGGGUUCCCUCGAUAACCUGACGAGCACUGGCAGAUGUAAGCAGGCGGACCACCGAUGGUCGUCCGUUCGACACACUUGGCAUUUUCCUUGCAUGGAAAGUUGUGGUUCUGUUGAGCUGCAUGACAUGACUCACCCUCAACUGCCCAAUUCAGAACGGCUGGAAGCUGCCUUGAGUUGUUGAGUUCUUGAAAAGUUGUGUUGGGGUUGAAUGAGAAGUUGCCUUGUUCCACAAUGAAGGCAUAGCUGCAAGGGUACUUAGCGUACCACGGAUUAUCAAUCCCCGUUCGAUUGCCGACAGUCAGGCUUUGAAGAAAAGUGGAUAUGUUUCGCAGUCCACCAGGGAUGGAAGCUUGGGAACAGCCAAUUCCAGAGCAAGAGUCUGGAAGUGCGUCGCCAAGAAUAUCAUCACACAUGGUGACGCUGUUGCCGACUUCGAACUUUUCUUUCUUUGGGCCUCCAUCCCCUGAGCGCUCACCUAAAAAGGUUCCUAUAGUGUCACAGCCUACUGUGGUGAAAUUGUUUCGUGUAUGGGACAUGCAGUAAGGAGGAGGCAGCUCUAGCGAAGUAAAGAUGUCCACUGUUUCCUCACCCGAAUCAUCAUAACAAUCCAUGGCUACAUCUAGCAUUAUUUGCAACUCGCCAUCAGCCACAGAAAAGUUGGUAAUCCUGUUCAUACCGCCCAUCCAGUAGGCUGACGGCGGUUGGGUGGAUUGAUCACAAGUGAUGUUGAAUUCUGGUCGGAGGUAACAGGCUUCACCCAUGCCAAAUGGAUACGGAAUUGUGAGGUUACCACAGUGGUAAGGGCAGUUAGGGUGGGCUGAUUGAGGUCCUUCUGUUAUUGCAGCUGCUUGUGCAAUUAGCAAUGAGAGUGGCAUAAGCACCCCAAGUAAGCAGUAGUGGAAGGCCAUUUUGUGUAACGUGUAUUAUAUUGUUUGGGAUACUUGGGAGUGAAGUAGGUGGUAACUAGGAGCCUCAACUAUCUUUCGCCUUUAUAGGCGAACUAGUCGUAAUGAAGAGACUUGACAAAUGAGAAAAUUUGAAGUGUAAUGGGUAAUACAAUCGGUGAUAGGUAAGCUUUUCUACUGUUCGUUAAUGUUUCUUGUUUCUGGCCUUGCUGAGUCUAAAACCACGGUGGGACUGGAGGGACCUCAGGUUUUUGUCUAUUAUUUGGGACCUAAAUAAUUGCAUGGUAAUUAAUGGUCAUUGCGUGCAAAUGAGACUAAAUCCGUAUGUCCUUUGUUUAAGCACUACGACAUACAUGAUAGUCCCACCAUUUACAGCGAUACCAGCGAUGGUCAUUGCGUGCAAAUGAGACUAAAUCCGUAUGUCCUUUGUUUAAGCACUACGACAUACAUGAUAGUCCCACCAUUUACAGCGAUACCAGCGAUGCGCCAGUGCCUGGGGGGGGGGGGGGAAUAGUAGUUUGUAAUGUCAAUGGGUGGAAACACCACAAGCCUUUUGCGAGAAUACCCCUAUUCACAUAAAUAGUAAUAGCCCUUGCCUUCCUUUACCCUUUGCCAUGGUAAAUAGGUUGAAGUGUUGUACAUGCCCAAACCGUGUCAUUGUUGAAAUUGGCAACAAAUUGUGGACUUCAGCAGCAGCCGUUGUUGACUUUGUUGGCUCAAAUUGCACCCAUACAAGUGUGUCGGUGGUUUCUUUCAUGAUGCUGCACACUUGGUAUAAAAAGAAAGUGUUUUUGCAUUAUUUUAUGAGAAAUGCUAACAACCUUCUCUCUAACCUGCCUUUUUGGAUUUUCUCUUUUCUCUUUAUGAUAAGUGUUAUUUUUCUUACACUUAAAACAAUGUCAAUAAUACAUCUCAUAAUUUCGUUUUUGUUUUCCAAGUUUACCCUUUAAAAAUGUAUUGGCUUUUAUAUUUCCUUCAAUUUAUUCAAAUUUUGUUAUAACUUCUUUAUCACUUUGUUAAAAAAUAAAUAAUUAAAAAAACAUAAUAAAAACGUCAUAUUUAAAAUAAAAAAAAUAAAGUUUAUUUUAUGACAUUGUUAUCAUCUUUAUUUUGUUUUUAAUAAAACACGCGUUCUCUUUGGAAAAAUUAAUAAUUAAAAAAAACUUCAGUUUUUAUUUUCUCAUUUAAUUUUUAACAAGGUAGUAAGAAAGUUAUAAAAAAAAUUAGCUUGUUAUUAAAAAAAAAAUUAAUACAUUUAAUAAGGGUAAACUUGGAAAAUAAAAACUAGUUUGUGUGAUGCAUUAAUGACAUUAUUUUUAGUGUAAGGCAAAUGACACUUAUCAUGAGAAGAAUGGAGAAGUCCAAAAGAAAAAGUUAGAGAGAAUAUUGCUAGCACUCCCCUUAUUUUAUUUGGUGGAGGGAAGAAACAUUUGAAAGAAGAAAUAAUGGUUCUUUUGUCCAAAAGGAGGAAAAAAAAGCCAUGUGAAGCAGCUGGAAAGGAGGAAAACGCGGGCUACUGAUUUCACUUCCUCCACGGUAAGCAAGAGAGAGCACGGGUCCUUUUCCCCAAGUCCUUCAACAGACUUUGAGAGCUUUCCACACGGAGAGAAACACUAGAGAGCAUCAAUUUUUUAUUAUUAUUUUAAUUAGCUGCUGACUGACAUCAGCAUUAUAUCACUUACCCAGGCAGCCGUACAGGCUGUAUUUGCUUGCCUCACACGCCUUGAGAGCUUUCCACACGGAGAGAAAUACUAGAGAGCAUCAAUUUUUUUAUUAUUUUAAUUGACUGUUGACAUAAUCCACGUCCUUUUUGCUUUGAAGUUCAGAACUUGGGCUGUUGUUUCCUCAAGUCUUUCAACAGGUUUGAGAGCUUUCCACACGAAGAGAAACACUAGAGAGCAUCAAAUUUUUAUUUAUUUAUAAAGAAAUUGGCUGUUAAUGUCAUAAUAAUAAUGACAUCAGCAUUACAUCACUUGCUCAGACAGCAACACGAGCUGAAUUUGCAUGUGGAUUUGCCCUGGUUGGUGGGCCAUAGGCCUUGCCCGCUGGAACAGUCACGUGGGCCUAGGCCCUCUCCUACUCGGGCUUCCCCUUGCCGCUGGAAGUGCUCUAAACUCCCUUUUGGCUACACGAGAUUGAAAGGACCCGUCCCGAAUUUUCUCAAAACCCGAGGCGAACCUUUUGGAAUUCCUGACAUCACCCCGAUGCCAGAUCCAAUUACUAAAGACCGAGACUUUCUGCCGAAAUUUCGGCAGAGUCUCCCCUAUAAAUUGGACAUUUCCCAAAAUUUAUACCUGCAUAAAAACGCAUUUAAUAUUCCCAACUGGCAGCAUGCACAAUAUAAUUUCAUGCAAUUCACACAAAUGGCCUUCGACCUUCCAAUAAUUCUUAACCAACUACCAAACAUGCUAACAAAACAAUUCAUGCCUUAAACAAGGCAAACAAUUCAAAUCUAAAUUAUGACUAACAUUUAGUCUGCGGCUGCGCCUAAUAACCUUAGGCUGCCUACGUACCCUCCUUGAGGGAUCAAGCCACACGUAGUUCUUCCAUAAAACCCAAUUCUACAUUUGGGCGAUACCUUAUUUCAUUUCUCUGUAUUUCACAUAAUCUCCCCAUAUGCCGGUACAACCAACGCCACGUAUAGGGCCUGUCAACACGCCGGAUAACCUACGUCACGUGCGACCAUGCCAUACUAUUAUAAUAUCUCCCCAUACGCCGGUACAACCAACGCCACGUUUGGGGUCUGUCCCAAUUCCGGAUAACCUACGCCACGCGAGACCUGCACAUUAUAUCACAUAACUCCCCAUACGCCGGUACAACCAACGCCACGUAUGGGGCCUGUCCCAACGCCGGAUAACCUACGCCACGCGGGACCUCAAUAUCAUAUCACAAAUCUCCUCAUACGCCGGUACAACCAACGCCACGUAUGGGGUCUGUCGACACGCCGAAUAACCUACGCCACGCGGGACCUCAAUAUCAUAUCACAAAUCUCCUCAUACGCCGGUACAACCAACGCCACGUAUGGGGUCUGUCGACACGCCGAAUAACCUACGCCACGUGCAACCUCAACACAAUAUCACAAUAGCUCCCCAUACGCCGGUACAACCAACGCCACGUAUGGGGCCUGUCUCAACGCCGGAUAACCUACGCCACGUGAGACCUGAACAUCAUAUUACGAAUCUCCCCAUACACCGGUACAACCAACGCCACGUAUGGGGUCUGUCCCAACGCCGGAUAACCUAUGCCACGUGGGACCUAACUUUCACUUGGUGGUGCAUGUAGUGAAUCCAACAUCCGGGAAGGUACCUAAAGUAGUGCGUAUCGCACUCCAAACUGACAUUCUAAACUCUGUUGUACCCUUGUACAACCAUAUAUAAUUAUAAUUAUAUAAAUUAAUUCUAAUAUUGUGUAACCCUCCACAAUCAUCUAGCAUCCAAUAAUCCCCCCUAGAAAGGUGAGAUUACUCCGGGAGACUCACGGUCAACCAAGGGUCAAACUACUCUAACCCUGGUCAACCGGACCUGCAGAACCCACGACUUCCAAUUUCGGAUCCGAAAGUCCCUAUGGGUUCUACCAGGUAUAGGACACAUGUCCUGCAAGUUUGGUUCAGAUCAGACGGUCGGAUUUCUCACGAUCGCAUGAUCUGACGGUUAAUAUAAAAUAUAAACUUUAAAUUAUUAUUCGGAACAUCCGGGGCUCCGAUUCACGAUCCGUGAAUUCCUACACGAUCCUAGAAUUACCUAGAUUAACAUAUAAUAAAUUUGGGACCAUCCGACGGUCCCAACCUAUCGAACCCGGAUAACGCAUACUAUGCGAUUAUCCGUUCGAUAGUCAAACGACGUCCGAAUUGAGAUCCGCGAAAUUUUACACACUCGUGACAACCUAAGGAUCUCAUUGGAACACAUCGCUACUUUUUCUACAGUGCCCACGUGCCGCCGCACGCACCGGCAGCGCGUGGGUGCCCAAAGCGAUAACGCUUCGCCGGAAAAUCUCAAAACCACGGCUCCAAACUCCUACCCUAGGUAUAACACCCUAUUUGGAGCCACUUUUGUUCUUGGACCUACCCCAAACAGUGGCCGGAAAUGGCCGAUCACGGCGGCCGAAGUUCGGCCGAUUUUCAAUUCGAAAAUCGAGUGAUCUAGAGAUCGAAUCGAUCAAAACCCAACCAACAGGCAGCUAGAACAGCUCGAGAGGUUCAAGAUCCAUACCUGGGUUGACGGAAAUGGUGGCCGGAGGAGGGAGAUCGACGGCGUUAAAGUUCCGGCGACAUCCGGGCGAAAAUCGCCAUUUUCCGGCGGCUGGAGCGGCUGCCGAUGGCGGGGAUGGGCUGGGUCGUGACGCCGAGGUCGAGCUGGUUCUUUUGACACCGGCCCCGUCCGCAGCCGCGGCCGGUGGCCGGAGUUACGAAGAGAGAGAGAGGAGAGGCCGACGGGAGAGAGAGAGAAGUCGUGGGAGAGAGAGAGAGAGAGAGAGAGAGAGAGAGAGAGAGAAACCAGAUUUUAUAAAAAAAAAAUCUCAUUUCGAAAUAUUUACGAUUAUGCCGCUGGGCUUGUUUUGAACAUAUCUCUCUCGUUACAACUCCGAUUCGAGCCCACUACGUGUCUAUGAACUCGUCUCAGUACGACCUAUCCAAAAAUACAAGUCGCGGUCCCAAACUCUCUCCGGUUAAAAAUAUGACUAAAAUACCCUUAAAUAAUUAAAUAAUUAAAUAAGGGUUAAAUUUGGGGUCGGGUUGAGGAAGAUUAACUCAUUUCAAAGGUUGAAUCUUCUCAUUCGUUCCUUGUAUUUGUGGGAGGUUUAUUCCUCUGUUUGUUGGCAAGAACUUGUUUGUGUUCUUGGCUAUUGUGUGUGAUAGGUUAUUGAGUGACUUGGGUGUAUUUGGGAUUUGGGCUGAGUUAAACUCUGUAAUUGCUAGGAUAGGUGAGAGGGUUAAUCUCAUUUGGUUGUAAUCUCCUAACAUCAACUAUGUAGCAAAUCACAUAUCCCCCAAGUUUCUAUAAAAAUUACUCAAACACAAAGGUAUCUCCUAGCAACUAGCUAAUGUUCCUUCAAAUCUCUAUAGUUAAUGUUAAUUUUCCUUCAAGCUUUUACAAUUGAUACAAAGAGAAAACCUUAAUUUGAAUAGGAUAUAUCUGGUAGAAUGUCACACCCGGAAGAAGUUUUCAUAUAGAUAAAAAUCAACAAGUCAAUCAAGUAAUGACAUGAUUAACAUCUCAAUUUGCAUUCUGCCAUACCUGCUAGUUGUACCAGUAGUAAUUGUGGUACAAGGACCACAAUCACCUCUAAAGUCAUCAUCGGAAGUGUUUGAAGGUGACCCCAGAGAAAGGGAAGUCUGAUCUUCGGGACCCAAAUCGUCAUCAGCAUUAGUUCCCCAUGGAUGAUUUGCCAUAAUUCUCAUUCCCUCAAGCUCUGUAGCUACCUCUCUCAUUGUAGGCCUUUCCUCCCCUUUUAACUUUAGACACAUUUUUGCGAGACGGGCCACAUUUCUUACUGUCUCAAUAUUUCCUUCACUGACUAUGUCACCAUCAAGAAUAUGAUUUAGGCGCUCUUCUUCUACUGCACAAACAAACAUUCUUGCUAGGCUUCUCUCUGACUCAGGCCUAUCGUACGAAAAUGCCACUUUGCUUGUCAAUAGUUCUGCUAGCACAACUCCAAAGCUAUAAACAUCACUCUUUUCUGUUAGUUGGUUCGAUUGGAGAUAUGCAGGGUCUAAGUAUCCAAGUGUUCCCUCCACGAAAGUUACAAUUUCAGUUUGAUCUAGGGGAAUCAAUACUGAAGCUCCAAAGUCUGACAUUUUCGCCGUGUAAUUUUCAUCUAAAAGUAUAUUCAUGGCUUUAAAUCUCGGUGUAUGAUUUGCAUAUGAAAGUGGAGGAGUGUAAAUAUGCCAGCGCUCCUGCAGUUUCUGCAGCAAUCUUCAGGAAAAUUCUGUGGUGCCUCAGCUGUAUCGGUACAGCCAGUUAUCCAAGGGUCAGUAUUGCAUCUUAAAAAUAAAGGGCUGAGAUUGAAUGACCUGAAGACUUGUUGAGCCCUUUGUUAUUAAAUAUCACGUGACAUACACGUGACUGAGAAAACAAGUGAAAAGCUUCAACGAACGUGCGGAAGCCCUGGCGUGCAUUGGACCUGCUUAUCUCUGCGAUCGAUCUCUCUCUCUUGGAAAUCCAAUCCUCAUCUAUGUCCCCAAAUCAGAAUCUGGGCGUCUCACUUCUGCCGACGCUGAGAUGCAACAGUCAUCGGACAUCGCGUGCACUGGGAGCUGCUUCAUCUUUGCAAUAUAUCUCUCUUUCUCUCUCUCUCAAAUCCAAUCCUCAUCUUUGUCCCCAAGUUGGAAUCUGAUGCAUCUCCUCUCUGCCGACACUGCGAUGCAAGAACCAUCGGAGAGGAGACAGAGUGGGGUGAUUCAGUCGAGUUCGAUGGGGGUGGUGUGAAAGGCCUUUAUUUGGGUAGAAAUUCAACGACUUAGUAUUGAAUCUGGAGUGAGGAUGUCUGUGUUGCAGAGCCUUUGAUGGGAGAAAAAAUUCAACGCCUUGGAUUGAAUCUUGGUGAUUUUUUUUCCCUCUUUUAAUAAUUUUUAAUAUUUUAAUAUUUUAAUAUUUUCUCUUAAUUUCAUCACAGCAUCAGACCCACUGUGAUCCUUUCUCCAUCAAACCCAUGUAAUUUUCGUUUUAUGGAGGAUUUGUUUUCUUCCAUGUAUGAGGUUAUGGAUUUGUGCUUCAAAAUAAGGUAUGAAAUUUUGAACAAUCAGGUUGUUGAUUUUCUUUAAAGUCUUGGAUUCUUGAAUUUUCUUCCUACUUUUUUUUUUUUUUUUUUUUCAAUUUGAGAUUUGUUUUAUUACUCAAGAACUCUGGUCAUGAUGAAUCCAAUUGGAGUUUUCGGGCUUGUUAGUGGAGAACUGAGGUUGGCAUCAAAAGAGAAAGAUGAGUUCUUUAACUAAGAAACCUCAUAACUGGUUUUGGUUUUGGCUAUAUUAUUUCUUAUGUGCAAUUGCAUAUAGUUUUUGUGCAAUUGCAUACAGUUUAUGCAAUUUUUGACCCCCUGUAUGCAAUUAGCGACAGUGUGAUGUUUAAAGAAACGUUUGACUUGAAUGCUAUGUCAUUGAGUUAUUUACCCAUUAACAAUCUAGUAACAAUUGAGGUUUCGUUCGUUGAGUAUGUUGCGUUCAUUUGAUAAAUUUAAAUGUUGGUAUGUUCGGUAAGAAAAAAUAAGAGUUCACGAGAAAGAAGAAGACAUGAUAUAUAUAUAUAUAUAUAAUUUUUUUUUUAGGUGAAGUGUCUUGGGUUGCCAUUACCAUUUCAAAGAUGGUAUUGCUAAAUCUGUAAGUGUAUGGUUUAAAUGUGAUGUUCAUGAUUGAUAUUGGUUGUUGUGAUUGCCGUAAUUGCUAUAUAUUGGUUGCUCUGGCUAAGGAGUCAGGAAAAGAGCAGUUAAGACAAGUGCAUUUUUGUUACACUGAAAUAUGUGUUUUGAGAUACCAUCACAGUGUUUGAAUAAUCUCUCUCUACCUCCCUCUCAUUUGCAGAAAGGGGUAUGCUCACUUGGACUUUUCAUGCAUACUUGGUGAGAUUCUCACCUUCUUCUGAGAGCCUAAUAUUUAGGGGCUAACAUUUGUGUACUCUACAAGUUAUAAAUUGAGCUAAACGUAUUACAAAAUAUUUUAGGUGAAGUGUUUUCUUUGUUUAUGUUUCUUUUUUGAGAUCUUAUUUCUUAUUUAUGUGACAUGUAGUCUUGGUUAGAGAAAAUAGAUGAUAUCACAUAUAAUUUUCUAUAGCUUUUAGGUAGUAGUAGAUUAUCCGUAUUGUCAUGCAAAUGAACACACACACAAAAGAGGCCCUCUAGCCAAAAAGAGGAAAUUUGGUGAUCUUUGCAUACGUUAUAAGAGUGUGAGCCAAUGAGCCUUCUAGUAAAAACGAAAGAAGUUAAAAACCAAAAAAAGGGCGGAAGGCAAUUGCAUAUUGUAAACUAAUAAUUGCAAAUAGACGUUACGAAAUUGCGUAUAUAUAUAUAUAUGCAAUUGCAUAUUGUAAAAUGAGAUUGCACAUAGAUGCUACGAGAUUGCAUACAGGCAUAUGCAUAUGGAUACUAUAAAUUGAGAAUUGCACACGUGCUAUCAAAUAUGCGAUAUAUGCCCACAAAAACCAUUAACAUGGUUAAAUUGUUGAUUUAGUCCUUGAACUUGUAUCCAAUUUUCAAUUUAUCGCAUGACCUUUUUUUUCAUAAUAUUACGGAUAUGAACUUUCUUUAUCACCAAUGUCUCCCCUGCCGUUAAAUUCCCUAACAUUUCGUCCAAUCUGUCAUUAAAUAUGAGGGCACAUUGAUCAUUUCAUACGUUAAACAUAAUUGAAUUAUGUAAAAUUAAAUAAUAUGAAAGGAUAUUAAAUAUAUGCCUUAAAGCCAAACAUGUGAUAUUGCGUUCUUUUUUGGAUAUUUCACCAUCAUUUAUGGGCAAAAUCAUUGUUUGCAUCUAUGUUAUUUAGUCUACAAUCAUAAUAGCACAACAAUCCUUGGAAUAUGAUUCGUAUGUGGGCUAAGCAAUGAGAUUGGAUAUAAGAAGACUUCUCAUAUUUCCACUUCACUUCGUGGUCAUAUAUUAUCAAUUGGGCAUUGAUCAUAAUCGAAAAGGUCCAAUUUUCUUUUUCGUCAAUUCAAUGUGACUCAAUCAAUCGACCAUUAAGUAAUAAUUUUUGUUGAAAGCUUUUAAAUUUAUAUUUGUACCAACAAUCAUAUGUUUGAUUUUAUUGAAUUUUUUUUUAAUUAACAAUAUAGGAAUAAUUGGAGAUAAUCAACAAAGUUCAAUUUUAUUCUCAAUACUUCAUUGGGUUAAAUUAGUAGUAAAUCAUGAAAGUUAUAUUCAGUAAUUUAUGCCCAACAAACCUACCUAAAGAACGCUAAGCGACUCGUUCGUCGGGUAAAUAAUGUUGUUCGUUGACCAAAUUACCCAACGAACUCCUUGAUUUACUCAAUAAAAAAGGUAUUUUACUUCGAAGACGCAAGGGGAGCGCUCGGUGAGUAAAGCUAGUCGUUCCCUGAGAAAUUGGACUAACUAAAAUAUUUUAUCAAACAAACGGAGUGUUUGUUCUAGUGAACGCAAGGGUUGCGUUCGUUCAGUAAAGUUAUCUGUUCCCCGUAAAAUUGGCCAAACCAACUUACUUUUUCAAACAAAUGGGGAGUUUGUUCAAACGAACGUAAGGGUUUGCUUUCGUUCAAAAAUACUCGACGUUCUGCCGAAAAAGAAGGCCAACAUAGCUAAUUUUUUAAACCAACAGGGUAUUUGUUCAAACGAACGCAAUACGUGCGUUCCUUAAAAAAAGUUACCCGUUCGCCGAAAACAUGCCCCAACCACCUUACGUUUUCAAACAAACGGGGUAUUUUUUCACACCAACGCAACAUGUGCGUUCGUUGAGGAAAGUUUUUUGUUCGCCGAAAAAAUAUAUCCAACCAACUUACUUUUUCAAACAAACGGGCUAUUUGUUCACGUAAACGCAUGGGUUGCGUUCAUUGAGUAAAGUUGCUCGUUCUUCUAAAAAAUGGGCCAAACUAACUUACUUUUUCAAACAAACGGGCUAUUUGUUCACGUAAACGCAUCGGUUGCGUUCGUUGAGUAAAGUUACCCGUUCCCCAAAAAAAUGGGCCAAACUAACUUACUUUUUUAAACAAACGGGCUAUUUGUUCAUGCGAACGCAGGGGUUGUGUUCGUUGAGUAAAGUUAUCCGUUCCCUUGAAAAAUGGGCCCAACUAACUUACUUUUUCAAACAAACAGGCUAUUUGUUCAUACGAACGCAGGGGUUGCGUUCAUUGAGUAAAGUUGCCCGUUCCCCAGAAAAAUGGGCCAAACUAACUUACUUUUUCAAACAAACGGGCUAUUUGUUCACAUAAACGCAGGGCUUGCGUUCGUUGAGUAAAGUUGCUCGUUCCCCGAAAAAAUGGGCCCAACUAACUUACUUUUUCAAACAAACGGGCUAUUUGUUCAUGCGAACGCAAUGGGUUGCGUUCGUUGAGUAAAGUUGUCCGUUCUUCCGAAAAAUGGGCCCAACUAACUUACUUUUUCAAGAAAACAGGCUAUUUGUUCACGCGAAUGCAGGGGUUGUGUUCGUUGAGUAAAGUUCCCCGUUCCCUGAAAAAAUGGCCAAACUAACUUACUUUUUCAAACAAACGGGCUAUUUGUUCAUGUAAACGCAAGGAUUGCGUUCGUUGAGUAAAGUUGCUCGUUCUUCUGAAAAAUUGGCUCAACUAACUUACUUUUUCAAACAAACAGGCUUUUUGUUCACGCGAACGCGAUGGGUUGCGUUCGUGGAGUAAAGUUGCCCGUUUCUUGAAAAAAUGGGCCCAACUAACUUACUUUUUCAAACAAACGGGCGAUUUGUUUACGCGAACGCUGGGGUUGCAUUCAUUGAGUAAAGUUGCCCGUUCCUCGGAAAAAUGGGCCAAAUGAACGUACUUUUUCAAACAAACGGGAUAUUUAUUCAUGCAAACGCAAGAAGUGCGUUCGUUGGGUAAAGUUGCCCGUUCCCCGGAAAAAUGGACCCUACUAAAUUUCUUUUUUAAACAAACACACUAUUUUUUCACGCGAACGCAAAGGUUGCGUUUGUUGAGUACAUUGUGUUCAUUUGAUAAAGUUAAAUGUUGGUAUGUUCGGUAAGAAAAAAAAUAAUUCAUGAGAAAGAAGAAGACAUGAUUUUUUUUAUUUUUUAUGUUGUUUUUUUUUGUUUUGAGUUGAAGAAAUUAUUAUUAUUAUUUUAAAGAAAAAGCGUAUGGGUGUGAUAUAUAGUAUUGUUAAUUUAAUUGGAUCUUGCCCCUGAUAUUUUUCAGGUGCUUCUUUUUUAAAACUAUUUAAAAUGUGGUUCUUAAAAUUUUUCAUGUAAGCCUUGUACCAAGGGAUAUGCACUAGAAACCAACUCCACUAAAUAAAUUUUUGUGUCAAUUUGUUGCACGUUGGAGUAUAUAUACAGUUGUUAUAAUAAUAAUAUAAAUUAUGUAAAAUAAAAAUUUUUAGGGGGUCCUCAAAAAUCAGGGGCCCUGUGCAUUGGCGCCACUUGCACUAUUUCAGGGCCGCCCUUUUCUACUAGUUGGGUUAAUCUUAACUAUCUCAUAUAUGGGAAGAUAGUAGAGAGCUCAAGAGAGACCUAUGUGCACCAUGUUCAAACAUGGCUUACAAACUGCUCGGGUUACGUAACUUGGUAUGACUAUUGUAUGAAUCUAGAUGGUUGUUCCUCAUUGUUGGAACCUCAUUGGAGCUCUUCAUUUAUGUAGAUGGACACUUAUCUAAAUUGUAAUUCAAUGUUAAAACAAACUAUGGAUUUAUGCAUGGUUUAUUCAUUCUAAUCAACAUUUUAUUUUCAAACUUUUCAUUAACACACAUUACAUACCACUUAUAUUUCAUCAUAUGUAUAUCUUAUUAUUAGUAAAUUUUGAGUUUUAUUUGUUCAAUACAUUCAUUGAUAAUGUACAUAACAUUAAUGAAAGUUUUAUACCAAAAUUAUGUGUUUCAAUACCUAUAUCUGUCUUCUUCUUUUUUCCGAUACCUAAGACGAUAAUAAUAUAUCCCCCGAAAUAUCCGUAAAUUGGAGGCCCUAUAUUAUUUACAUGGUUGAUAUUUUAAUCCUUGGCCCACUCGAACCUUCCAAGGCAGAACCAUAUGUAGCCUUCUCUUUAAGGUUUAAUUUCCUCCAUUUAUUAGCAAUCUCUUCUUGUACCUGGAAAAAAAAAUCUCAUUAAAAGAGCCUUUUUAAUAAAAUAAUUAAUAAACUAACCCAAUCCAUUGCCAUCUCUCACCUUAUUGUCCAACUUUGCAUUUGCCACUUUCCCCAUUUUAUGUCUUUCUUUUUUUUCUUUUUUUUUUGUAAAUCAUUUAUUUUUAAUCAAAAAACCAUCAUAAUAUUAAGCAACUACAUUUCCGAUUUUUAGAUGUACGUGUAACUUACAUGAAAUUAAAAAAUGCAUCUCGGCCAACUCUUGAUUGUUGCACAUUACUGUCGACUUUGCUCUUUCCUUUUGUUGAUCCCCUUUUUUGAGCUUCCAUAACUUGCACAAAUCAAGUACAAAACACUAUCAUGCAAUUGUCUCUAGCGCCGAGAAUUUGAAUACUAAUCCAAAGCCUAAUACCCCCUAAACCCCGUAAACACCACAACAUCACAUUGCUUAAUUAAAAAAAUACGGCGACCUGGAUUUGCAUACAGUUGCUUAGUAAUUGCAUAUACUGAUAUGCAAUUGCUCGAUACUACUUGCAAGUGCAUCAGCCCUCGAUUAUUACAUUGCACAGAUAAUGCACACAACCCACCCAUGCAUUUCUCUAUUGGGUCAGGAUUCUUACUCAUUUCAAAUCCCAAUACAAAUCUUAACCAAUCCUCACAUUACACUUUCGGAACACUUUAAUCCCCAUAACAAAUUAUUCUAAAGCACAGUCAAACCUACCUACCUACCACGAAAUCACCUGAGUUGCAUAAUUUGAAACAAAAACUAUAUACUGUCAUUGCAUUCAAUGACUUGGAUUUGCAUACAGGCUAUUAGUAAUUGCAUAUAGAGAUAUGCAAUUGCAUAUUGAGCUAUGCAAUUGCAUAUUGAGCUAUGCAAUUCCACGAACAUUACAACUAUGAAUGUGAGAUACGUGCAUACUUUGGAAAAAAAAACUAUAUACUCUAAUUGCAUUCAAUGACUUGGAUUUGCAUACACGCUAUUAGUAAUUGCAUACAGAGAUAUGCAAUUGCAUGAACAUUACAACUAUCAAUGUCAGAUACCCACUUCACCUCACGCCACUUUCAGAAUCACAAACCCACCACAAUUAAAUCAUACACAAUCAGAGGCCUCAUGGGUAUUUAUAUAUACAAUCAGAUCAAGAGGCACUAUAACAACCCAGCAGAAAUGCAGAGUGGGAAAAGAAAUACAAAUUUUGAAUCAUUAAUUUCUGGAAUUGUUCAAUGAAAAAACUGAAACAACAAUUCAAAAUCACUAGAAGAAUAAAUUAAAUAGAACCAUCAAUUACACAUAACGAAAAUCAACACACGAACUUACCGAGAUGGAGGAAGCAGCUGGAGAAGACGAAGUGGGUUUCUGGGUUUUGGCUGAAAUCUGCUCCUCAGAUGGAGAAGACGAAGUGGGGGGAGCUUCUUCAGGCUGUAGGAAGCUGUGCAGCUAUGAAUUCACCGAAAUAGAGCUGGAGCUGUGGCUGUGCAAAGCUUUGGAGGAGGAGAUAGACGAAAUCGAUCUGUGUGCAGCCUAGGUUUUGAACGAGCGGGAGUUUUUAUUUUCCUUAGUUUAACUGGUUAACCAAAAGAACCAGUUUUCAUUGUUUUUAAAAAAAGGCCACGUGAUGGGCUGUACAGGUACACCCGGCGCACCACAGACAAACUCCAAUCUUCAAUCGUAAUUCCCAUGGAAGCGAUGAUCUUUUGUUCUCUUUACCAUGAACAUGCUCAAAAAGAGUGCCGUUGGUGAUGAACUCGUAAACUAGUAACGGCACUUCUGUCUCUAAACAACAACCUAACAGCCUCACCACAUUCCGUUACGUUGAGUCUUCUCUAUUAUGUUGGGGUAGGAAGCAAUUAAUAAUACUCAAUGCAGACUUGUUUAACCACCACCACAAACAUGAGGGUCACCAUCUACACCUUGUUAUGCUUGAAAGAAGUUGCGGUUUUAUUCUAAAAUUAAUUGGCAAGACAGGAGUAGUCCAACUUCUUAUAAACCAUUUUAUUUUUUGUUAAUUUUCUAAUGUGUGGGACAUUUUCACCUGCAUUCUCAAAAUGCUCAUGCAUUGCUGGACCUGUCAUUGAAACAAAUGGGACUUAAUUGAGGGGCACAUCAAAAAUAAAUUAAAGAUUACAAAAAAGAAACAAAAACCUAUGUCCACAAGCUUAUAAGUUUAUUUGUUGCACCCUAAAAAAAAGCUUACAAGUUUAUUUGGGAUGUGACUGCGCUUGUUUAUCCCUUAAUGCUCUCAUUAACUAAAAAAGAAUAAUGAUUGUAUAUCAGUCCUGAUCUCUUGGACUACAGUGGUCCAAGAGAUUUGUGGUCACUCACCGUUGGAUGUAAAUUCAACGGUUCACUCACUCUUGCACUCCUUUUAAAAAACUUUUUUCAACCAUUGGAUUAAUAUCCAACGGUGGAUGACCACAAUCUCUUGGACUUCUGUGGUCCAAGAGAUUAGGACUGUAUAUAUAUAUAUAAUGAGUGUUGCUAAACGAAUCCUAAAAUUAAGUGAGUACAAAGAUGGAAAUUUAUUUAUUUAAUAAAAGAAAAUAUGCUCCUUCAAUAAAUUGAUAUAAAAUAAUUUAGUAAAGUUGUACUUGAACAAUUACUCUUCAUUUAAUAAAUUAAGUUGACCCCUGCGAUGAACAUGUUCAUGUUCAUGUUCAUAUUCAUAUCACAUCACUUAAAAAGUAAAGGGUCAGAUUGAAUUUUCUACUCAUUCUUUGUCGGGAUAUUAUGUUGUUAAUCUAUCUAAAUUAUUCCACCUAUAUAAUAAUUUAUAAAAAAUUCUAAAAUAUAUAAACUUGUCAAUCAAUAGGUGCUAUAAUUUGAGUGCAGCUAUAACACCCCAUUGCAUAUCACAUAGUAUUACCGUGGCACACAAUAACGUGCUCAUGCUUUAAAUUGAUUAAUUGUCAAAUUCCAAUUAAAUGUCAAUUAUGUUCUUAGAAAAAGAAAGAAUGUGUAUCGUUGGGAUUUUCUAAUUGAUUGAGGAAAUUUGAAGCAAUUAUAAGUCUGUCAAUUUUUAUUUAUUUAAUUUAAUGUUUUAUUUUAUAUUUUUAAGAAUAAGUUAUCUAUUAGGAUAUUAUUUUCCUAAUGUGAUUUUAGCUAUAAUAUUUAUUAUUUUCUUGUUAGCUAAGUUUAGGAAUAUUCUAGAACCUAAGGUUUCCUAUGAUAUUAGGGUUUCUUUGUUUUCUAUUUAAGUCAACUCAUGUUGUUAUAUUUGUCAGUUUAAGUAUCUUAUUUUCAAUCAACCUGAUCUCUUGGACUACAGGGGUCCAAGAAAUUUAUGGUCACUCACCGUUGGAUGUAAAUUCAACGGUUCACUCACUCUUGCACUCAUUUUAAAAAACUUUUUUCAACCAUUGGAUUAAUAUCCAACGAUGGGUGACCACAAUCUCUUGGACUCCUGUGGUUCAAGAGAUCAGGACUGAUAUUUGAGGUUUACUCAAUUUUUAAAGUGAAUUUCAGUUUAUUUGUGAAUUCCAACAUUAUUACUUAUAGGAUUAUCGUUUGAUAUCUUUAUCCCUUAUAUCUAGUUGCAUCACUAUUACAAUGAAUCAACCGAGAGGAGGGGACUUUGAACUUGAGUCUACAGUGAGACUUGAGAGGUGGUCUCAAUUAUAUGUCGUAUUGUUGGAGACCUCAGUCCACGGUAAUUAAGAUACAUGCAUGUAUUGAAGAUAAAAGUACAUCUGUCCUACAUGGUAAUUAAUAGUCGAUGCGCGUGCAAAGUCAAGCAAUGAGACAAAAUCAAUAUGUACUUGUUUAACUAACAGCACAUACCAUUUAUGUCUACAACCUUCAUUUUGUCAUGCUCAUCAGCACCCGAACCUAACUCAUCCUUCUCCUAACCAGUUACAUACUCGACGACUCAGGUUCACACCAAAUUUUUAGUAGCUCGUGUUAGAACAUAAUUUUACUUUUCUUUCUAAUAUUCUUACUUAAUCUUGGUUCAUUCAAAGGUUGUGUUUAACUGGGCAUAUGCCUAGCCCUUCUGUUGUUAGGGCCCUGCCAUGCUUUUUAUUCUUCGGUUCCAUUUUGCAAUAGGGUAAAGUUGGUUGCCUUGCAUAUGGUUUUGACAAUUAUUACUACUCACAAGAAUAAACGCUCGUGUUCUUGGAGCUAUAAGUAACAAAGAAAAUAAUCAAACACCACACAUAUAGUCGUUCCAGCAAUACAUCUAUGUACAUUACUUCUAUUCUAACCUUGUGGUUCAUAUAGUUUCUACCGCAUCAAGUUUUAACUAUCUCCCAUCAUUAUAUGACAUUAACAUUUGGAUUUGCAUGCUGUCAUGCCCAUUAGUACUAGAACUGCAAUCGCCUCUAACAUCCACAGCAUACGUGUUUGAAGGUGACCAGAGCAAGUGCACAUUCUCUUCAGGACAGAAAUUAGAACUUUCCCAUGUAUGCUUUGCCAUUAUUCUCAUCCCCUCUAGCUCUGAGGCUACCUCUUUCAUGGUAGGUCUUUCCUCCCCUUUUAACCUGACACAUCUUUUCGCAAGGUUCGCUACAUUUUUUGGGGUCUCAAUAUUUCCUUCACUGAAUAGGGUAUCGUCCCAAAUUCUGUUCAAGCCAUCUUCCUCCAUUGAACAAACAAAUAAGCUUGCUAGGUUUCUCUCUGACUCAGGCCUGGCAAAAGAAAGCGCUACUUUGCUUGUUAGUAGCUCCAUCAGGACAACUCCAAAACUAUAGACAUCACUCUUUUGUGUUACUUGGUUUGAAUGGAAGUAUUCAGGAUCUAAGUAUCCAAGUGUCCCUUG
rnacentral:lncRNA from 1 species